AUUGAACGCUGGCGGCAUGCCUUACACAUGCAAGUCGAACGGCAGCACGGGAGCAAUCCUGGUGGCGAGUGGCGAACGGGUGAGUAAUAUAUCGGAACGUGCCCAGUCGUGGGGAUAACGUAGCGAAAGCUACGCUAAUACCGCAUACGAUCUACGGAUGAAAGCGGGGGAUCGCAAGACCUCGCGCGAUUGGAGCGGCCGAUAUCAGAUUAGGUUGUUGGUGAGGUAAAAGCUCACCAAGCCGACGAUCUGUAGCUGGUUUGAGAGAACGACCAGCCACACUGGGACUGAGACACGGCCCAGACUCCUACGGGAGGCAGCAGUGGGGAAUUUUGGACAAUGGGCGAAAGCCUGAUCCAGCAAUGCCGCGUGCAGGAAGAAGGCC
rnacentral:rRNA from 1 species